CUCAUUGUUGCUUCACUGGAUGUGUGCUUUACGUCACCAUGUCACGAGGCACCUGCUGCCUUAUCUUAUUUACUCACAUGAGUGGGUGUUAUGAGUGGAUGUUGUGAGAUGAUGUUUUAUUUAAGGAAAGCGUUAAGAGGGAUUCCUUUCUGAAAUUAUUAUAGAACUGAAAGCAAUGGAGGGUUUGAUUUAUUUUAUUCAUUUACUAACUUAGGUGUGGGUGUUUUUUUUUAAACGUUCAAGAGCAGUAAACGUGAUUCUUUUCCUAAAUUAUCAAGGACUUAAAGUAAUAGAGGGAAUUCUUUACUAAUUAGUCAGGCGUCGUGUUAAUGGGUAGGAUUUUUUUUCCCCAAUUACUUAAGGGGUGAAUAACGUACGGAUUUCCUUAUCUGCUUCGCUAGAGAGAAAGACAAUGGGGUGGAUUUAUAUCUCUCUUAUUCCUACAUUCAUUACCUUUUCCCUUCCUCGUCUGCAUUUCCUCCAGAAAAUAUAAAGGAAAAGUCCGUAUGAAAAGCUUGUGAUGUUGACCGAAAGUGAAAGAAAGUGUUUUAUUAAAUUUUACCUCUUUAAUUUUCACAUUCGUUUUUUUCCCUUGUAUACAAUUCUUCCGCACAAAAUAUAAAAGUAAAAAAAAUAAAUAGUAAGGAACCUCGUGACUUUGGAAAUAUAUAAUCUUCCAAGAAUGGAAAGGGAAAAUUAUAGGUGGUCUUAUUAAAAUAUUUUAACAUUCAUUAUAUUUUCACUCGUAUACAAAUCCUCUUGAAAACAGAAAGAUACAAAAAAAAAAAAAAAGCUCUUGACUUUGAAAUUUACAAUCUUACAGUCCUUAUAAAGCAUUGCAAACAGAUAGAUAUUCCUCAUUACCAGACAUCCUUCGUAUCUUAACCCUUGCACUGCUUUUUGACGCAUCUUUCUUUAAUCAUUAACAAAUCUGAGACAUCUUUUCUUGUUCUACAGCCACCUCCAAACAUCGAAGUGGCUGGAAAUUGCAAAAUCUACACAAUCUACACAUCUUGUAGAUGCGUAUAAAGAUCUUCUACAUUGCUUUGAGCGACAUGAAGUGUUACAUAAAACAGUGAAAGGGGUGUUAAACACCUUCUUUGGAGUAGAGUUAACACGCACUAGACUGAACUAUGCAAACAUCGUGCUUACGAUACCGAGGCAGGAAAUAUCGCUUAUUACGCGCCUAGAUAGUGGCAGUCAGUCACCCAUAUGGCGGAACAUGACAUUCAGAACAGCACGUGCUAAGAAAGAAAACGGGAUGUUACAAUACAUUAGCUUCCUUCACAAUGACACGUAGGGUUCCUAAGAGCGGGUAUCUCCCACGAUUUCAUUCAUAUUUGUGAUGCUGUCUUCUCUCGUAGAUCCGCAAUUUUCUGAAGGGAAUGCAAAGAUUUAGCUAUAUAAAGGAGUUGUGAGUAAAAUGGAUGUAAUCAGUUACAUAAUAUGAAUUUUGAGUGAAAUGCAAAGAAUGACUUACAGAAAAAGAAAAGUCUCAAGUGAAAUACAAUGAAUAAUUUACGAAAAGAAGAACACAUAUGCAAAAGACGAGUUACAGAAAAAAAAAUGUUUUGCGUGAAAUACAAAAAUGCACUACAGAUUGACAAAAAGAAAGACAAACGUAAAAUAAAAGAGCCCGUCCUCCCUCACCCAUAAGCCUGGAACAAUCGAGCUACAGUAUCAGGAUGAGAUAUAAUUAGGAUUCAUAAGAUUUUAUCACGCCAUUCCUUCCUUCCAUACCCUUCCCUCGCACAGCCACAUUUCACAGUCUCAGUCACUCACCAAUGUUUCAUCAGCUCACCUGUCUACACGUACCACAGCUCAUUUAGUCCCCUAAACACUCCCUAUGUUGACCCACUGACUGCUAAUGAAGCCGCCACUGCUAUUUCAUUUCAGUAAAUUUAUACAACUUUACAUAUGCUGAAUAAAGAAUUAAUAGAUGAUUGAUUUCAACCACUGAAUUACUCACUCAUUAUACAGACAGUGCUAUCUUUUCAAAUUACACUUUAAACUUCCAGGGAAGGAAAACCACGGCAGUCAGAGGGUUAUUGUGCCGAGGUAGGCCAGGUCAUCACGAAUACACGAUAUCACACGUUACUACACCACAUUAUCUUCACCACAUUAUCUUAUCACCCAAAAUCUGAACUCCAAGUCAUGCUAAACAAUGUCCCAAGGCCUCUCACUCUCACCAUCCACCCUUCAUCCCAUGCCAUCACAAAUACACUGCCCUACACCGAACCCAAGUCACGUCACCCAGACUCUGAACUCCCAUUUAUGCCACAUAAUACCCUGUCUCAACCCCUCACCCUCACCCCUCCCACCCUUCAUCCCUGCCCCCUGUAGUCCCGGAGACAUAACCGACACUGAUAGUAUCCCCCAGAUAAGGGCGCGGGUCGGUGGUCUCAGUACCCCGGCAGACAGCGCAUGGAGCAGGUGGAACUGGACACAGUGGGCAAGAUGGAAAACGAAGGAUUCUCCGAGGCUCAGAUGAGGGACAAUCCCAACAACAAAGCCAACUACGUCCCCAUGGGUUAUAAUGCUACAGGAUGGGGUAAGCAAGUCAUACUGAAGCUUACUUGACUCCUACGAUUCGUGAGAAGGAUAGGAGGAGCGGCAAUGACUGACCAACUAACCUGCGCUUUAAUUACCGAGGGAAAGGAAGCUUCUCACAUAUGUGCACAAAAAUUUCAUUCACGCAUUGCCUUCUUCCAAUCCACCUUCAUGCCUCUUAACUAACUAAAAAGACGUGUAUCUUUCUGGUGCCGCAAGGAUUAGUAUCAGACAAAGCUGUGAUUACCAGGUGGCUCUCCCUUCACGUUCACUGGGGCCGUGAAAGGAGAGCUUUCACUCCGCUGUGAUACACUUUCAUGUCGCACUCCACCGCCAGAUGGUGCUACCAACACCAACAACAGCAACUACACAAAAGACGCUCGCAGUGACUAGGGAAAAUUUAUCAACAAUAAUGAGAUUAACCUGAUAAGAAAUAACGAUAGUGUAAUGUGGUUUCAAAAAUUUUAUCAAGUAAAUAUUUUCCCAUUAUGUUCUCACUAUAAGCAACGCAACAGUCACCUAGGGAGUUUGUAAAAACGUGCUGUUGUACUAAAAUAUUCUUCAGGAAA